CCUGGAGAGAAACUCUAUGAAUAUAAUCUAUGUGGAAAAGCCACCAGAAGAAAUUCUAACCAUAUUCCACCCAAGAGAAAUUACACAGGAGAGAAAUGCAAUGAAUAGAAAGAAUAUGGGAAAGUGUAUAGUUAUCCUUCAUUGCUUAGGAUCCAUGUGUGAUAGAUCUCAGCUGGCCUCCCUCGUGGCUCAGGGGUAAGGGAUCUGCCUGCCAGUGCAGAGGACGCAGGUUCAAUCCUUGGGUCAGGAAGUCCCCUGGAGAAGGAGAUGGCAACCCAUGCCUGCAUUCUUUCCUGGAGAAACCCCACGGGCAGAGGAGUCUGGAAGCUACGGUCCAUGGGGUCACAAAAGACUCAGACACGAUUUUGUGACUAAACAUCUGCAUUCCUCUUGCUGGACCCCAUGCUGGUUGGGAAUCUCUUCAGGCUUGCUUUCUGCAAAUCACUGGGUACAGAAACGUUAUUGCAAAUGUGGAAAAAACGUGCAGAGAACCUGUGCUUCUGAUAAUGUCUGACAUGAAGGAAUG